GUGUCAGCAGCCGCGGUAAUACGAAGGGGGCUAGCGUUGUUCGGAAUCACUGGGCGUAAAGCGUACGUAGGCGGAUCGUUAAGUCAGGGGUGAAAGCCUGGAGCUCAACUCCAGAACUGCCUUUGAUACUGGCGAUCUUGAGACCGGGAGAGGUGAGUGGAACUGCUAGUGUAGAGGUGAAAUUCGUAGAUAUUAGCAAGAACACCAGUGGCGAAGGCGGCUCACUGGCCCGGUACUGACGCUGAGGUACGAAAGCGUGGGGAGCAAACAGGAUUAGAUACCCUUGUAGUCC
rnacentral:rRNA from 1 species